rnacentral:sRNA from 1 species
CGUCCACCUGCUGCGGGCAGAUGAAGUGGAUAUGGCUGUCAAACCCGCCGGCGGUCAGGAUCUUGCCCUCGCCCGCGAUCGCCUCGGUGCCGGGGCCGAUGAUGAUAUCCACGCCGGGCUGGGUGUCGGGGUUGCCCGCCUUGCCGAUCUUGUGGAUACGCCCGUCUUUCAGCCCCACGUCGGCCUUGUAGAUCCCGGUGUAAUCCAGGAUCAGCGCAUUGGUGAUCACCGUGUCCACGGCACCGCCCGCGCGCGUGACCUGGCUUUGCCCCAUCCCGUCACG